UUGUAGAAGUUUUGGAAAUUGUGUCAUAAAUGACUUUCUUUUCUCCGGCAAUAUCUAUGGACAUGUGUAGUCUGUGGCCAUUGAUGAUGGAAGUAUUGGCAGACUUUGCUAUCGACUACUUUCCAAGAGAACUGCACAUUUCCUCACUUGUAAAGAGCUAGACUACCAGCAAAGCCUUUGGAGUAUGAUUUCACCUAUAAAAAUAUGGAGGACAGUGAUAUUGAGCCAGCUCCAAAGCUCAUUCAAGUACUCUUCCAGAACUGCAAAGGGAAAGUGGAUCAAUGGGUUGAGCCCCAUAUCUCAGAGUCACUGUUGAGCAGUUGCGUUGGGCUAAGAAGUCAUACUUGAAAUGUCUUCUUU